GGAGGUGCUGGCGGAGCGCGAGGAGGCGGCGGCGCUGCCCGCGGCGGCGGGAGGCGGCGGCGGCGCCGGGCCCCCGCCCGCCCCGGCGGCCUUAUUGACAAGAAGCCUGGCGGACCCAGAGAAUAACAACGUUGACAAUGAAUGCUCACAAGGAAACAACAGGAAGCCUGAGGGGCAAUCCACAAUAUCGUAUGAUUAUUCUGAGGAGGAGCUCAUGGCAAGUAUUGAGCGAGAGUAUGGCCCCUGAAUCUAAUCCCAUGUGAUGAGAACUUCAAGCAUGUUUCUGGAGGCACAGCUGGAACAAAACUACUGCUAACAACAUAACCCCUCAUGCAGUGAGACAACAUGAAAGAGGUGCAAAAGACAAGUAAAGAAUGAGAGGCAACACAACUGUUUAGGAAGCUUGGAAGAGUGUUUGAAGAAAGCCUCCCUGAGCAAUUCUGACUGAGACCAUGGAGAAUCCUCACCAGCUGUUGAGUCUGAUCAGUGCAGCUGGAACAGGGACCAUGGCAUCUUGUAAAUCAAUAUUUAAGACCUCUUUUCUAAAUGGUAUUUACAUUCGAGGAUUUACUGGAAUGUAAAUAUUCGGGCAUGGUGCUUUGGGAGAAGACCUUUUUGUUUUGGCAGAAAAAAAAUGUAACAAAAUCCUUCAGUUCAGAUUUCACUUAAGGGGAUGUUGCACAAAGUUCACAUUCCUGCCACUUAAGAAAUAUGGGCCAAAUUCACUCCUUUAGCCAUACAGGCCUCAGUUCCAGGUCUGAAUUUGGCACUGUAUCUUUGAAAAGAGUUGCCAGGGAAAAAUAAAAGGAAAAGGAGAGCAAAUCUCCAAUUCAAAAUGUAGGUAGUAUAAUCCAGGAGUUCAAAUCCCCCUGCUUAAGCAAAUGAGGCUCUGAGGAGUGAACAGGGAGCCUAAGAUUUGUACAAAGAGCAGAAGAGCUCCAGCUUCCUCCUGCUCACAGCAGCAUCCCGGAGAUGUGCAGCUGCAGCGAGUCAGAGUCCCAACCUCUUCAGGGCAAGAUCCUCACAGAAAUUUCUUCCUGGCUGGCUUGUUGGCAUGGAUCCACCAGGGAAAACAGGAGGCACAUCCCCAGCACUGCCCGUAUGCAUUUGUCCAUCAUCUGCUUUGAGACAGAGUUGCACACUAUGGUAGAGCAGUUGUUUCCAAUCAGUUCUCUAUGUUCAGAAUCAUCAUUCCUGCCUUUCCCAUAUAUUUCUUUUCCUUAACAGUUAACCUAGAAGAAAAAUCACUAUAUUUUAUCGUUAGAAAACUGAAAAGUAAAAUGGAAAGUCUGGAGCUUGAAAGAAAAUACUACAUUUUCAAUGCUCAUUGAGAGUGAAACCUGGUAUUUUAAUGUUUCUGCCUUUAUUCUACCUGCAUCUUAACAUAUUAUAAGUAGCUGCUUAUUAUCAGAAGUAGAAAAAUAUCUUAUGUCUGUCCUCAGACGAAGCAUAAAACACAUCAGAUGAAGUCUUCACAUAUACUACAUAAACGCAAGAGGAAAGAGCAGGACGUAUCUUAAAAUGUUGUAUUUUGACUUCUCCUUUGUAACUCCUAAUAUCUAUAAAACAGAAGUAAAUGUAUCUGUAUUCUAUAUAACUCUUAGUAAAGCCAUAAAAUGUCAUUUUGAAAAA